rnacentral:rRNA from 1 species
UAUAAUGGGUCAGCGACUUAUAUUCUGUAGCAAGGUUAACCGUAUAGGGGAGCCGCAGGGAAACCGAGUCUUAACUGGGCGUUAAGUUGCAGGGUAUAGACCCGAAACCCGGUGAUCUAGCCAUGGGCAGGUUGAAGGUUGGGUAACACUAACUGGAGGACCGAACCGACUAAUGUUGAAAAAUUAGCGGAUGACUUGUGGCUGGGGGUGAAAGGCCAAUCAAACCGGGAGAUAGCUGGUUCUCCCCGAAAGCUAUUUAGGUAGCGCCUCGUGAAUUCAUCUUCGGGGGUAGAGCACUGUUUCGGCUAGGGGGUCAUCCCGACUUACCAACCCGAUGCAAACUACGAAUACCGAAGAAUGUUAUCACGGGAGACACACGGCGGGUGCUAACGUCCGUCGUGAAGAGGGAAACAACCCAGACCGCCAGCUAAGGUCCCAAAGUCACAGUUAAGUGGGAAACGAUGUGGGAAGGCACAGACAGCCAGGAUGUUGGCUUAGAAGCAGCCAUCAUUUAAAGAAAGCGUAAUAGCUCACUGGUCGAGUCGGCCUGCGCGGAAGAUGUAACGGGGCUAAACUGUGCACCGAAGCUGCGGCAGCGACACUAUGUGUUGUUGGGUAGGGGAGCGUUCUGUAAGCCUGCGAAGGUGGCCUGUGAGGGUUGCUGGAGGUAUCAGAAGUGCGAAUGCUGACAUAAGUAACGAUAAUGCGGGUGAAAAGCCCGCACGCCGGAAGACCAAGGGUUCCUGUCCAACGUUAAUCGGGGCAGGGUGAGUCGACCCCUAAGGCGAGGCCGAAAGGCGUAGUCGAUGGGAAACAGGUUAAUAUUCCUGUACUUGGUGUUACUGCGAAGGGGGGACGGAGAAGGCUAUGUUAGCCGGGCGACGGUUGUCCCGGUUUAAGCAUGUAGGCGGAGGUUC